AAUUGUAAUACACUUCUCCACAACUUCGAUAUCUUAUACUUUGUAAAUACACUGUUGAGUUACUUCCAUUUUACAGAAGAGCAGCAAGACCAAAGAGUUCAAAGGUUCACAGACCUCAAAUGUUAUUUUCAUACAAAUUCCCUUUUCCACAACUGUUUAUCUUUUCUUUUAGGAGGCCUGUAUUAUGCACACACACACAAACAUGGUUUUUUGAAAUGUUUUACAUUAUUAAGUUGAUGUUUACCUGAAGCAGAUACUUAAAGGGGGAAGAGGGGAAGGGUCAUCUCUAAUUUUAUACGUUAAAU
rnacentral:lncRNA from 1 species